AUGACCCCAGGUCAGUCGGGACU
rnacentral:rRNA from 4 species